rnacentral:rRNA from 1 species
UUGGUCCAUUUAGAGGAAGUAAAAGUCGUAACAAGGUCUCCGUAGGUGAACCUGCGGAGGGAUCAUUACACAAAUAUGAAGGCGGGCUGGAACCUCUCGGGGUUACAGCCUUGCUGAAUUAUUCACCCUUGUCUUUUGCGUACUUCUUGUUUCCUUGGUGGGUUCGCCCACCACUAGGACAAACAUAAACCUUUUGUAAUUGCAAUCAGCGUCAGUAACAAAUUAAUAAUUACAACUUUCAACAACGGAUCUCUUGGUUCUGGCAUCGAUGAAGAACGCAGCGAAAUGCGAUAAGUAGUGUGAAUUGCAGAAUUCAGUGAAUCAUCGAAUCUUUGAACGCACAUUGCGCCCUUUGGUAUUCCAAAGGGCAUGCCUGUUCGAGCGUCAUUUGUACCCUCAAGCUUUGCUUGGUGUUGGGCGUCUUGUCUCUAGCUUUGCUGGAGACUCGCCUUAAAGUAAUUGGCAGCCGGCCUACUGGUUUCGGAGCGCAGCACAAGUCGCACUCUCUAUCAGCAAAGGUCUAGCAUCCAUUAAGCCUUUUUUUCAACUUUUGACCUCGGAUCAGGUAGGGAUACCCGCUGAACUUAAGCAUAUCAAUAAG